rnacentral:misc_RNA from 1 species
GGAAGUAAAAGUCGUAACAGGGUCUCCGUUGGUGAACCAGCGGAGGGAUCAUUAUCGAGUUUAUAACUCCCAAACCCUAUGUGAACUUACCACUUGUUGCUUCGGCGCGCGCUUCGGCGCCGCCGAGGACACUUAAACUCUUUGUUUUUAUAAGCAUUUCUGAGUGGCCGAAAGGCAAAAUACAAAUGAAUCAAAACUUUCAACAACGGAUCUCUUGGUUCUG